UACGUAGGGACCAAGCGUUGUUCGGAUUUACUGGGCGUAAAGGGCGCGUAGGCGGCCCUACAAGUCACUUGUGAAAUCUCCGGGCUUAACUCGGAACGGCCAAGUGAAACUGUAAGGCUAGAGUGCAGAAGGGGCAAUCGGAAUUCUUGGUGUAGCGGUGAAAUGCGUAGAUAUCAAGAGGAACACCUGAGGUGAAGACGGGUUGCUGGGCUGACACUGACGCUGAGGCGCGAAAGCUAGGGGAGCAAACGGG
rnacentral:rRNA from 1 species